AAAACUUGGUUUUCGAGCAUUUCUCUGCCCCAGGAGGGCAAUGGGCCCCACGUCCAAUUCAUCAAGUGCCUAAUGAGUGGCCUCGGAGGUCCCGGCCCAUCCAUUCCAGAAGCUCCCUGCCUCGUAAAGGCUUUCUGGCCUUGGCCCAGGUGUCAGGAUCCUGCCAGCUCCACGCUGGGGGCUGUGUCUGCCCCGAGGUGGUUGGAAACCUGGAAUCUGAGCAACCGUGAACUCCAGGCAGAAGAAUUUCAACAGUUACACUGCACCCUGGCAAGAGGAUUGUAGGCUCAAUGCAGAGAGCUAGUGAUUUUGCCAACUUCCUGGAUGUUCGUUUCUGGUCCUGCACCAAACAGCCACAUUUCCUUUUGGAGCCGGGACCAGGACAGAGGCGGCGGCAGACACGGGACGUUGUUGUGAGGAUUCGAGAUUGUGAAUGAAAAGGCUGGGCCUGUGGAAUAUGCUAUCUCUGGGUCAGUUCCCAGAAGCCCAGAAAUGAAUGGCCAGAGCGGCCACCGGACAUCGCUUUUCAGCCACCAGGGGCCACCGGGCAUCACAUCUCGGCCACCCACAAGCCGGGCGACCCUGGGAUGGGGUGAGGACACAGACCUGCACAGAGGGGAAGACCUCGUGAAGACUCGGAAGGGAUAGCCAUGGACACGCCAGGGAGAGAGCUCCGGAGAAACCGACCCUGCUGACACCUCCGGCUCCAAAUUCCAGCCUCCGGGGCUGCGAGGUGAUCUGGGCUGCUUUGUCACGGCAGCCUGAGCAAAGCGACAUAGAAAUUUGCCUGUGUGCUGAGCAGCGUGUGCUUUAAAACGACCGACGGUCUGUCCCAAGCCCCUCCAAGGCGAGCACGUCCCAUUUGGCUUCUCGUACUCAUCAAAGCAUUGCGUUCCCAUCCCACAGAUGUGGAAACUGAGGCUAAGCAAAUAGCCCAGGGUCAGAUAGCUAGGAUGUGUGGAGAGAGACUGUUUCCCGGAGUUGGGGUACUCAAACCCGGCUGCACAGAGGAAAUCACCUGGGAAGUCUUAAAAAUACUGAUUCCUGGGCCCCACCCCGGACGAAGGGAGUUAGAAGAUGGGCAGCAAUUCUCAAGGCACCCCAGUGAUUUUCACCUAGAGCGAGGGUUCAGAACCACUGCUUUAUACACAUUUUUUCUUAAAAAAAACAAACAAACUAAAAAACAACUACACAAAAAAACCCCACACAAAAAAAACGUGGUGGCUUAGUAGGAACUUAAGCCCCAUGUGUCACCUCCCAUCUUUCCAUAUUUCCCGUGGGUGAGGCCGCUCCAGCGUGGUCCUCACAUCCAGCGUCAGUUUGCUAGUGUUCAUGCUGCCACCGGCACGGGCUCUGGAGCCCCUCGCCUGGGUUUGAAUUCAGACUCCACCACUUGCUGUGUGACUUCAGGCAAGUCACUUGGCCUCAGUUUCCUCAUCUGCAAAAUGCAGAUCAGAAGAGUACCUACCUCUAAGGUGGUUAUUAACCGAGUUCAUGUCUGUAAAGUCCUUAGAACAAUGCCGGACACAUGGAGUGUGCUAAAAAAUGUUCGUUAGACGAAAAAUGCCAGUCUCAUAUACUGACCCCUGGGUGGUAAGAUGCUGAGGGUGGGGUUAGGAAUGGGGGACAGGAACGGAGUCUAAGCCAGCUCUGCAUUUCCCCCAGGGCACAGGGGGCACCGGGCACAUUUUAGUGGGAGGGAACAGGGCACCCGUCCCCACCAGGCACGCAUCGCCGGGGUGAGGGAUGUCGUCACAGCUGACCUGUUCUGUUUACAUGUAAACCGUCACUGCGGCGUCCAGAAGUCACGGAGGGCUGCUCACACGGAAUCCGGGAUGCCAUGGCCAUGUGUUUUCUCUGUCAAGAGCGAGGUCUGAUGCGGAGAGCGAGGCGACCGGGCAGGCAUGCACCCAGCGCCAGUGCUGACGGGGUUUUGGGCAAUCCUCCUGCCUUGUAUUACGUGUAUGAAU